rnacentral:rRNA from 1 species
CAGUCAGAGGCGAUGAAGGACGUGCUAAUCUGCGAUAAGCGUCGGUAAGGUGAUAUGAACCGUUAUAACCGGCGAUUUCCGAAUGGGGAAACCCAGUGUGAUUCGUCACACUAUCAUUAACUGAAUCCAUAGGUUAAUGAGGCGAACCGGGGGAACUGAAACAUCUAAGUACCCCGAGGAAAAGAAAUCAACCGAGAUUCCCCCAG